ensembl:lncRNA
CUAAUGGGCAAAUGAGUGUGUCAGUGAAUGUAUAUGGCAGAGGGGAAGAGAGAGACCCGGAUCCUGACAGAGAGGGCCAAAAUUAAAAACUACCAUAAAUAUCAUGAUACCCAAUACUUACAAUACCCUCUUCAUGUCUCCCCUGCGAUCGCUCGCCGUAAGCGCAGAGAAGUUGCUACAUUUGUGGCUAGUAGCUUUUGCAGUGCCUUGUUUUUCUUGUAAAGACUAAAUCUUUAAGUCUUCACUUUAGAAAGUGUGUAUUUUAGACACUGUUAAAUUGUCUUUUUAAACACAAAACCACACACAUUUGAUCAUCGAAAGCAGAAUUCCAGGUAGAAGGUGUCAAACGAGCGACUCUUCCUGCUGUCCUCGUGCGGUUUGCUGGGUUCUCAACUCUUCAUAAUUUGACAGCUGUGUUCAAAGUGCCAACAAUCUCCCGACUUUUAGUCAGGACGUUUUCCAAACCGCUGUCUUUUAGGGACACAGUGUUGGUCCUCUGCAGACCUCGCGGGCAGGGUAGAUGUUGAGAUGGCGACCCGGGGGGAUCGGAGAUCCCGACAAAGUCUAGCAGGUGCCAACAUGUUCCAGGCACUAUCAGUGCUUUAAGUGAGAUGGUGACACAAGCUGGAUUUGCUCUACCUCACUCACAGGUCUGAUCAAGAAGCCUCCUUUUUUUUUAAGAACGUUUGAUUCUUCCUGCACGCACAACAUCCGUCAAGGCGAGAAUCAAAACAUUCAAUGGCAACUGGACCGGGUUAUUGCGGCUACGAUGUUUUUGACAAGAUAACUUAAUUGUAAUUAUUGUUGGAGGAAAUUAUGGGGGGGUGAUAUAAUUCUUGGGGGCAAUGUGGCCCUUUGCCCUGUAUUUCCGUAUUUCCUACAAUGCAUGAUAAACGCCUGAUAAAGAUGAAGAUGUCCAAUUUUCUGAAAAUAUUAAUGAACACACUAAAGCUGUUUGAAAAAACAACUUUGUAGUUAGUAGAGGCUCCUGAAAUUGUCCUGUUGCCGGUACCUGGUGUGUUAUUCUCUUGUGUCUGUUUCAUAAGGCCACAUUCCAUUUAAUAGCCAAGCCCCGAGAGUCACCACCAGACAUAAAAAAAGGAGCUGUAAAGCUCUUUUCCCUGCUAUCUGCUACAACCACUGCUGCGUCCAAUUUCACCCGCUCAGUGUCACUGCUGUCCCCAUUCAGAGAGAGAGAUGUGUGCCGGAAACAGUGGGAGGAUGGAGGUAAAGGGAGAACAAUAAAAAACAAUAAUUUGUUCAGCGUUUUUUUUUUUCUGAGGGAGUUAAAGAAGGUGAAAUCGGCACCUCCCUUUUAGUUUUCUAAAAGUAGUGUGGUUUUAGAACCUCAGCCUUGUAACAAGCCUGUGAUGAAGGUGUCCGUGGAAAGUCUGCUGUGUAGCUGCACAUUUGCUUUCAAUUAAGACAUGUCAAAUUGUUCUCUCCCCUCUCCUUUCUUUAAACUCUAACCUACCCUAGAACGUCCAGUAUGAUCUGGAUUACAGGAUCCCUGUUUUACAGACCAAAACUCCAAAUCAACUGAAUAACAUGUAUUGAAAUAAUGAAUAAACUGCUGUAAAGUCCAGCUGCCGUAUUUAGGGUUGGAUGCAUUAAAUUGACUCACUGGCACUUUGUGUAUGUGUUUGUCACGAGCUUGUAACUCUCACACUAUUCCCUUCCACUAUUUGCACUAACUGUUUUGCCAGGGCCCCAUUGCUGCCCUUCGCGUAAUCAGAUAUAUCUGAAUGUAUAUUGAAAAAGGUAAAAAGAAAACAUUUGAUAUUGAAAAACGUGAUCAAUAUUGGAAGCCCGGUUGGGAAUAUCUGGAAAAAUUUAGCGUAACAACUUCUCUUGUUCUGGUAGAUUUAUUUGUCUAAUCAAGAAUCAGUGGUGCGUUUGCAAAGGUCGGGGCAGUUCUGUCGGCCCGCAGGCCGGAAGAACAGCUUACUAACAUGAG